GUUUGGUCAUUUAACAUAAUCCCAAACUUCUUGAAGGCUUUGCUAAUUUUUUUUUUAUACUUCUUUCUUUGUCUUUGGUGGAUUGGGUUAUUUAAAAAAAAAAACUUGCCUUUAAGCUCUGAAGUUCUUUCUUCUGCUUGUUGGAUUCUAUUGUUGAUACUUUCCAGUGCAUUUUGCAUUUCUCUAAGUUCAUACUUUAUUUUCAAAAGUUGUGACUUUUUCUUAUUUAUGCUAUUUCACUGAAGAUUUUUUCUUUCAUAUCUUGUAUCUUUUUUGAUUUCAUUGAGUUAGACUUCACAUUUCUUUGGUGCCCCCUUGGUUUGCUUAAUAAUUGACUUCCUGAAUUCUUUUUCUGGCAGUUUGUGAUUUCUCCUUGGUUUGGAUCCAUUGCUGGUGAGCCAGUGUUGUCUUUUGGGGGUGUUAAAAUAUCUCGUUUGGUCAUAAUAUCAGAAUUGCUUCUCUGGUUCCUUCUCAUUCUAGGAGACUAUGUCAGAAGGAAGAUCUGGGGCUCAAGGGCUGCUGUUCUGUUCAGAUUCUUUCGUCCCAUGGGGUACUCCUUUGAUGUAGUGCUCUUCCCCUUUUUCUAGGGAUGUGGCUUCCUGAUAGCUGAACUGUAGUGAUUGUUAUUUCUCUUCUGCAUCUAGCCACCUCGCAGAGCUACUGGGCUCAGGCUGCUACUGGAGGAGUGUCUGCACAGAGUCCUGUGAUGUGAACCAUCUUCAGGUCUCUCAGCUGUGGAUACCAGCAUCUGCUCUGACUCUGUGCAGAUGCACCAGGGAUUCACUGAUAAUGAUAUUAUGUGACAUCAUUUCUGCUACUAUGCAGGUAAGAUUCUUGUGUGUUAAAAAUGUAUUAUAAACACAUAAAUUACAAU
ensembl:lncRNA